rnacentral:rRNA from 1 species
GAGAGCUUUGCGUCCCAUUAGUUAGUUGGUGAGGUAACGGCUCACCAAGACGAUGAUGGGUAGCCGGCCUGAGAGGGUGAACGGCCACAAGGGGACUGAGACACGGCCCUUACUCCUACGGGAGGCAGCAGUGGGGAAUAUUGGACAAUGGACCAAAGUCUGAUCCAGCAAUUCUGUGUGCACGAUGAAGUUUUUCGGAAUGUAAAGUGCUUUCAGUUGGGAAGAAGAAAGUGACGGUACCAACAGAAGAAGCGACGGCUAAAUACGUGCCAGCAGCCGCGGUAAUACGUAUGUCGCAAGCGUUAUCCGGAUUUAUUGGGCGUAAAGCGCGUCUAGGCGGUUUGGUAAGUCUGAUGUGAAAAUGCGGGGCUCAACUCCGUAUUGCGUUGGAAACUGCCAAACUAGAGUACUGGAGAGGUAGGCGGAACUACAAGUGUAGAGGUGAAAUUCGUAGAUAUUUGUAGGAAUGCCGAUGGGGAAGCCAGCCUACUGGACAGAUACUGACGCUAAAGCGCGAAAGCGUGAGUAGCAAACAGGAUUAGAUACCCGGUGUCCACGUCGUAAACGAUGAUUACUAGGUGUUGGGGGUCGAACCUCAGCGCCCAGCUAACGCGAUAAGUAAUCCGGCUGGGGAGUACGUACGCCAGUAUGAAACUCAAAGGAGUUGA